rnacentral:rRNA from 1 species
UACCAGCACCCCGAGUGGUCGGGACGAUUAUUGGGCCUAAAGCAUCCGUAGCCGGUUUUACAAGUCCUCCGUUAAAUCCAGCUGCUUAACAGAUGGGCUGCGGAGGAUACUAUAAGACUAGGAGGCAGGAGAGGCAAGCGGUACUCAGUGGGUAGGGGUAAAAUCCGUUGAUCCAUUGAGGACCACCAGUGGCGAAGGCGGCUUGCCAGGAUGCGCCCGACGGUGAGGGAUGAAAGCUGGGGGAGCAAACCGG